AGGUACGACUCUUCAGGCCCCGCGCGGGAACAAGACCAAAACCUUCUCCAUCUCGGCCACGCAGGACAUGAUGAACAGGAGGAAGUCAGAACCCAGUCCUGGGACCUUUGGCCUGAAUAUUCCCCACUCAGGACCCGUCUGACAUGAAAAGUCUGCAGGUACGACUCUUCAGGCCCCGCGCGGGAACAAGACCAAAACCUUCUCCAUCUCGGCCACGCAGGACAUGAUGAACAGGAGGAAGUCAGAACCCAGUCCUGGGACCUUUGGCCUGAAUAUUCCCCGCUCAGGACCCGUCUGACAUGAAAAGUCUGCAGGUACGACUCUUCAGGCCCCGCGCGGGAACAAGACCAAAUCCUUCUCCAUCUCGGCCAUGCAGGACAUGAUGAACAGGAGGAAGUCAGAACCCAGUCCUAGGACCUUUGGCCUGAAUAUUCCCCGCUCAGGACUCGUCUGACAUAAAGAGUCUGUAGGUACGACUCUUCUCUCUAAAAGUCUGCCACGCUGUAGUUUAAU